ACUCAAAUGAAUUGACGGGGGCCCGCACAAGCGGUGGAACAUGUGGUUUAAUUCGAAGCUACGCGAAAAACCUCACCAGGGCUUGACAUGUAAGAAGUAGUGAACUGAAAGGGGAACGACCCGUUAAGUCGGGAGCUUACACAGGUGCUGCAUGGCUGUCGUCAGCUCGUGUCGUGAGAUGUUGGGUUAAGUCCCGCAACGAGCGCAACCAUUGUCCUUUGUUGCUACUCUAGUUCGGCUUGCCGGAUUAGAGGCACUCUAAGGAGACUGCCUGGGAUAACCAGGAGGAAGGUGGAGAUGACGUCAAGUCAGUACGGCCUUUAUGCCCUGGGCGACACACGUGUUACAAUGGGUAGGACAAAGGGUUGCCAACCCGCGAGGGGGAGCUAAUCUCAAAAACCUACCCCCAGUUCAGAUCGCAGUCUGCAAUUCGACUGCGUGAAGCCGGAAUCGCUAGUAAUGGGAGAUCAGCACGCUCCCGUGAAUACGUUCCCGGGCCUUGUACACACCGCCCGU
rnacentral:rRNA from 1 species